UAGAGCGAGCACAUCUACUAGCUCAGUACAAAAAUAUUUAAUAGUAUUUAUUUAUAUUUCGGCUAGGUUUAAGCAUAAAGUGAAAAUAUAUAGUCAACCGAUUUUUUAUAGUUUUAUAUUCUUAGAGUAAGGUUUUCAUUUUUAGAAAAUAGUUCACACAAUUAGUUAAGAAACCAUAGCAAGAACAACAACACAUAUGAAAAGAGGAAAGCCUUAAACAAGCUCAUCGUCAUCGUAAUCAAUCUAAAUGUCCAUAAAUUCUAAAAGUAAACAGAUCCUGAAAGAAUCUACCAAUGAGGGAAUCCUUAAACAAGCAAAGAAAAAAUCUGUAAACAAGCUUCGUCAUCGUAAUCAAUAUACAGUCCGUAAUUACAAAAAUUAUCAGAUCCAGAUAGACUCCACAAGUUUCACCUGAGGUUUACACCAAUUAUCCACCUAAACGCUCCAUCUGUUC